ACCUGUCACAUUGUACAGACAUCAAAUACAAGUCCAUCAUCAAAAACUUCGAAUAACUUGGAAAAUUAUGUAAAAUUAUGCUGGUGUUGGUUACCCAUAUGCCUUCACCGCAAAAGCAUCAUGCACUCGGAACGUGUUUUCACUUUUUGCUUCAUAUAUUGACGCCUUACCAAUAGGGAGAAAAAGAAGGGUGGUUCAAAUAGAGAAGAAAGGGAAUGAGAAAGAUUGGGGAAGGAAGAAGAAGAACAAAAGGGAGAUCUAGGACUUCAGUAAUCCGCCGUCUAAAAGAGUUGCAUCUUCGCUUGAUUAUACAAGUCAACCCAAAAUCUGCUCGCUCUCCCUAAUUACAUCAAACUCCCCCAAUCAAAUCCCUAAAGUUGUGAUUUCUCCCUCGGAUAUUAUCCUCCACAUAUUUGUAUACAGAAAUAUGACAUGCAAUUCUUCUAGGAUAGUAAAAGAUGGAUAGCAUAUAUGUCAUUCAGAAAGGAAAUGUAAUAGAGCACACGAGGUUGUCAAAACAUCAGUUAAGCUCACAAUCAGAAAACUCACCAUUCGGUUUCUUCCCUCCUUUUGAUAAAUUCAUCCGCAACCUAUAAAUUUAACAUACCAACGCAUCAAUGACAUUAAAAUAUCCAUGGGCAAAAGUAGAUAAUUCAGUAUCAAGAUUCUUUCAUUAUUUUCUGGAUUUAUGGGCUUUGGCUUAGGAUGUGCACGGAACGGACUGGAAAAGGUACAAAGACAUAC
rnacentral:lncRNA from 1 species